rnacentral:rRNA from 1 species
GUCCCGGUUUAAGCGUGUAGGCUGGUUUUCCAGGCAAAUCCGGAAAAUCAAGGCUGAGGCGUGAUGACGAGGCACCACGGUGCUGAAGCAACAAAUGCCCUGCUUCCAGGAAAAGCCUCUAAGCAUCAGGUAACAUCAAAUCGUACCCCAAACCGACACAGGUGGUCAGGUAGAGAAUACCAAGGCGCUUGAGAGAACUCGGGUGAAGGAACUAGGCAAAAUGGUGCCGUAACUUCGGGAGAAGGCACGCUGACACGUAGGUGAAGUGAUUUACUCAUGGAGCUGAAGUCAGUCGAAGAUACCAGCUGGCUGCAACUGUUUAUUAAAAACACAGCACUGUGCAAACACGAAAGUGGACGUAUACGGUGUGACGCCUGCCCGGUGCCGGAAGGUUAAUUGAUGGGGUCAGCGCAAGCGAAGCUCCUGAUCGAAGCCCCGGUAAACGGCGGCCGUAACUAUAACGGUCCUAAGGUAGCGAAAUUCCUUGUCGGGUAAGUUCCGACCUGCACGAAUGGCGUAAUGAUGGCCAGGCUGUCUCCACCCGAGACUCAGUGAAAUUGAACUCGCUGUGAAGAUGCAGUGUACCCGCGGCAAGACGGAAAGACCCCGUGAACCUUUACUAUAGCUUGACACUGAACAUUGAGCCUUGAUGUGUAGGAUAGGUGGGAGGCUUUGAAGCGUGGACGCCAGUCUGCGUGGAGCCGACCUUGAAAUACCACCCUUUAAUGUUUGAUGUUCUAACGUGGACCCGUAAUCCGGGUUGCGGACAGUGUCUGGUGGGUAGUUUGACUGGGGCGGUCUCCUCCUAAAGAGUAACGGAGGAGCACGAAGGUUGGCUAAUCCUGGUCGGACAUCAGGAGGUUAGUGCAAUGGCAUAAGCCAGCUUGACUGCGAGCGUGACGGCGCGAGCAGGUGCGAAAGCAGGUCAUAGUGAUCCGGUGGUUCUGAAUGGAAGGGCCAUCGCUCAACGGAUAAAAGGUACUCCGGGGAUAACAGGCUGAUACCGCCCAAGAGUUCAUAUCGACGGCGGUGUUUGGCACCUCGAUGUCGGCUCAUCACAUCCUGGGGCUGAAGUAGGUCCCAAGGGUAUGGCUGUUCGCCAUUUAAAGUGGUACGCGAGCUGGGUUUAGAACGUCGUGAGACAGUUCGGUCCCUAUCUGCCGUGGGCGCUGGAAGACUGAGGGGGGCUGCUCCUAGUACGAGAGGACCGGAGUGGACGCAUCACUGGUGUUCGGGUUGUCAUGCCAAUGGCACUGCCCGGUAGCUAAAUGCGGAAAAGAUAAGUGCUGAAAGCAUCUAAGCACGAAACUUGCCCC